rnacentral:rRNA from 1 species
UUCCGGUUGAUCCCGCCGGACCUGACUGCUAUCGGAUUGAUACUAAGCCAUGCGAGUCAUUGUAGCAAUACAAGGCAGACGGCUCAGUAACGCGUAGUCAACCUAACCUAUGGACGGGAAUAACCUCGGGAAACUGAGAAUAAUGCCCGAUAGAACACUAUGCCUGGAAUGGUUUGUGUUCCAAAUGAUUUAUCGCCGUAGGAUGGGACUGCGGCCUAUCAGUUUGUUGGUGAGGUAAUGGCCCACCAAGACUAUUACAGGUACGGGCUCUGAGAGGAGUAGCCCGGAGAUGGGUACUGAGACACGGACCCAGGCCCUAUGGGGCGCAGCAGGCGAGAAAACUUUGCAAUGUGCGAAAGCACGACAAGGUUAAUCCGAGUGGUUUGUGCUAAACAGACCUUUUGUUAGUCCUAGAAACACUAACGAAUAAGGGGUGGGCAAGUUCUGGUGUCAGCCGCCGCGGUAAAACCAGCACCUCAAGUGGUCAGGAUGAUUAUUGGGCCUAAAGCAUCCGUAGCCGGCUCUGUAAGUUUUCGGUUAAAUCUGUAUGCUCAACAUACAGGCUGCCGGGAAUACUGCAGAGCUAGGGAGUGGGAGAGGUAGACGGUACUCGGUAGGAAGGGGUAAAAUCCUUUGAUCUAUUGAUGACCACCUGUGGCGAAGGCGGUCUACCAGAACACGUCCGACGGUGAGGGAUGAAAGCUGGGGGAGCAAACCGGAUUAGAUACCCGGGUAGUCCCAGCUGUAAACUAUGCAAACUCAGUGAUGCAUUGGCUUGUGGCCAAUGCAGUGCUGCAGGGAAGCCGUUAAGUUUGCCGCCUGGGAAGUACGUACGCAAGUAUGAAACUUAAAGGAAUUGGCGGGGGAGCACCACAAGGGGUGAAGCCUGCGGUUCAAUUGGAGUCAACGCCGGAA